AGUGAACGCUGGCGGUAGGCCUAACACAUGCAAGUCGAACGGCAGCACAGUAAAAGCUUGCUCUUACGGGUGGCGAGUGGCGGACGGGUGAGGAAUACAUCGGAAUCUACUUUUUCGUGGGGGAUAACGUAGGGAAACUUACGCUAAUACCGCAUACGACCUACGGGUGAAAGCAGGGGAUCUUCGGACCUUGCGCGAUUGAAUGAGCCGAUGUCGGAUUAGCUAGUUGGCGGGGUAAAGGCCCACCAAGGCGACGAUCCGUAGCUGGUCUGAGAGGAUGAUAGCCACACUGGAACUGAGACACGGUCCAGACUCCUACGGGAGGCAGCAGUGGGGAAUAUUGGACAAUGGGCGCAAGCCUGAUCCAGCCAUACCGCGUGGGUGAAGAAGGCCUUCGGGUUGUAAAGCCCUUUUGUUGGGAAAGAAAAGCAGCAGGUUAAUACCCCGCUGUUCUGACGGUACCCAAAGAAUAAGCACCGGCUAACCUCGUG
rnacentral:rRNA from 1 species